rnacentral:rRNA from 1 species
CCUACGGGGGGCUGCAGUAAGGAAUAUUGGUCAAUGGACGCAAGUCUGAACCAGCCAUGCCGCGUGGAGGAUGAAGGUCCUCUGGAUUGUAAACUUCUUUUAUUUGGGAAGAAACCCACGUUUUCUAUUGUGGUUGACGGUCCCAGAUGAAUAAGCACCGGCUAACUCCGUGCCAGCAGCCGCGGUAAUACGGAGGGUGCAAGCGUUAUCCGGAUUCACUGGGUUGUAGGCGUGCGUGUAAGUGCAGGGUGAAAGCCCCGGGCUUAACUUGGGAACUGCCGUUGAUACUAUCUGUCUUGAAUACUGUGGAGGUAAGCGGAAUAUGUCAUGUAGCGGUGAAAUGCUUAGAUAUGACAUAGAACACCUAUGGCGAAGGCAGCUUGCUACACAGUCAUUGACGCUGAGGCACGAAAGCGUGGGGAUCAAACAGGAUUAGAUACCCGAGUAGUC